rnacentral:rRNA from 1 species
GUCGGGAAUUUUGGGCAAUGGGCGAAAGCCUGACCCAGCAACGCCGCGUGAAGGAUGAAGUCUUUCGGGAUGUAAACUUCGUAAGAAUAGGAAGAAUAAAUGACGGUACUAUUUGUAAGGUCCGGCUAACUACGUGCCAGCAGCCGCGGUAAUACGUAGGGACCAAGCGUUGUUCGGAUUUACUGGGCGUAAAGGGCGCGUAGGCGGCGUGACAAGUCAAUUGUGAAAUCUCCGGGCUUAACUCGGAACGGUCAAUUGAUACUGUUGUGCUAGAGUACAGAAGGGGCAAUCGGAAUUCUUGGUGUAGCGGUGAAAUGCGUAGAUAUCAAGAGGAACACCUGAGGUGAAGACGGGUUGCUGGGCUGAUACUGACGCUGAGGCGCGAAAGCUAGGGUAGCAAACGGGAUUAGAAACCCCUGUAGUCC